AGGACCCGUUGAAUAUUGUUGACGGGAAGAUGCAAUACCUGUUUGACGAGGACGGUCGCCGCUAUCUUGAUGCUUUUGGUGGGAUUGCUACUGUUUGUUGUGGUCAUUGCCACCCUGAAGUUAUUGAAGCCAUAAUUAAACAAACAAAGCGUCUGCAACAUUCUACAGUUGUAUAUCUAAAUCAUGCGAUUGCAGAUUUUGCCGAGGCAUUAGCCUCCAAGAUGCCUGGUGAUAUCAAGGUUGUGUUCUUCACAAAUUCUGGUACUGAAGCAAAUGAGCUGGCCAUCAUGAUUGCUAAGCUUUAUACUGGUUGUCAUGAUAUUAUAUCAAUCCGAA
rnacentral:misc_RNA from 1 species